rnacentral:lncRNA from 1 species
GGGCAUCCGCGAGCUAUCGGCGGUUGGACCGGCGGCUCUCGGUGGGGUUCCGGACGCGGAUCUGGCGCCGAAUUCUCACGAGACCUGAUACCUUCCUUAUUUGUAUAUUCUCUUACUUAAAAAGCCAGAUGUCUUUUUUUUUUUUUUCAUUGAAAAGAGAAAAUUGACAAGGUAAACGGUCGUUUGGAGGGGCCACCUGGGGACGCGGCCCGAGCCCUGGCUCUACCUGAAGAAUAUCUUCUAUUUGCCACACUUCCUCUCCCCGUUUCCUUUCUUCGCCCCUCUCCUCUUUCCCCUUCCCCUCGAAGGUAAUGAGAACUACUGGACCGAUUACGCUAACCUCUUGGCCCUUUGUCAAAAAAUGGAGCCAAAAAGGUUGAUUUAGACAGACCCCCUGCUCAGUGCAGCACCUGUUAUUCUCUGUAUUUAUAUUACCAAGGGCCUUCGGUAAAUUAUGAAAAAUAGGAUGCCACCUGGGACAACACUGCUUAGACAGCACUGGAAGACCUUUAUAAAUAUACUAGGUUGCUUUUCUCCAAUCAGCCUAGCCUUGAUUUGAAAUUCAUUUUUAUUUUUUUUGAGACGGUGAAAUUCAUUUUUAAAAGAUAGUUUUAACCUCAGCGAUCUCUGAUGUUUGCGCUAAUACCCUUUUAAAGGCUUUCAGAAAUUUUAAAGAAUUGCUAUGAAAGGAAAAGUAACAUUCUAGUUUUUCUCUGUAAAAGAGGUUCACAAACGGCAGAUCGCUGUUAUGAAAAGGAGGGGUGGAAGUAUUUAAGGAAUUGUGGCAAACAAAGUCACAGAAGAAUGGAUAUAAGCAAAAGUAGCACACUGAAAAAAAUGGGGAAAAGUGGAGUCUAGAUCACAAACUGGUAAGCUUGGUGAUGUUCUCUAGCCAAAUUCGAAGGUAAUAACAUUGUAUUAUGGCUUUCUGUUUAAAAGCAGUUUCGCUUAUUUGAUUAUUCAACAAAUCUUUAUUAACACGCAUUACGUGUACCAGAAACUGUGGUACACUUAACUGUGGAGCUGGGGAAGCAAAAGUGAACAUGCCGCCUUAAGUGAGUUCAGAUGGCUUAUCUUCCGGUUGGGGAGGCAUCAAGUACACAGGUCCGUUGUAAACCAGUGUCUUAAGUGCUAACCUUAUCACAUUUGCUAUUAGAGGAUAUUAAACAUGUCAGACUUCUUGGAGAAAGUUGAUAUUUUCAUGUUCCAAGUUUGGGAACAUCAUUGAAUUCAGACAGAUCUGGAUUGAAACAGAUUAAAGUGCCUACACUUUA